rnacentral:rRNA from 1 species
UACGAAGGGGGCUAGCGUUGUUCGGAAUUACUGGGCGUAAAGCGCACGUAGGCGGAUAUUUAAGUCAGGGGUGAAAUCCCACGGCUCAACCGUGGAAGUGCACUCGAAACUGCGCAGCUAGAGUCCUGGAGAGGAAGGUGGAAUGCUUGGUGUAGAGGUGAAAUUCGUAGAUAUCAAGCGGAACACCGGUGGCGAAGGCGGCCUUCUGGACAGUGACUGACGCUGAGAUGCGAAAAGCGUGGGGGAGCAA